rnacentral:piRNA from 1 species
UGCGGUGUUCAGGAUUAAAUCCUCUCGGU